GUGCUCACUGCAGCACCACAUAUACUAAAAUUAAAGUGAUACAGAGAAGAUUAGCAUGGUCCCUGCCCAAGGAUGACACACAAAUUCCUGAAGUGUUCCAUAUUUCU